rnacentral:rRNA from 1 species
GUACCUACCUCUGUUGCUUUGGCGGGCCGCGGUCCUCCGCGGCCGCCCCCCUCCCCGGGGGGUGGCCAGCGCCCGCCAGAGGACCAUCAAACUCCAGUCAGUAAACGAUGCAGUCUGAAAAACAUUUAAUAAACUAAAACUUUCAACAACGGAUCUCUUGGUUCUGGCAUCGAUGAAGAACGCAGCGAAAUGCGAUAAGUAAUGUGAAUUGCAGAAUUCAGUGAAUCAUCGAAUCUUUGAACGCACAUUGCGCCCUUUGGUAUUCCGAAGGGCAUGCCUGUUCGAGCGUCAUUACAACCCUCAAGCUCUGCUUGGUAUUGGGCACCGUCCUUUGCGGGCGCGCCUCAAAGACCUCGGCGGUGGCGUCUUGCCUCAAGCGUAGUAGAACAUACAUCUCGCUUCGGAGCGCAGGGCGUCGCCCGCCGGACGAACCUUCUGAACUUUUCUCAAGGUUGACCUCGGAUCAGGUAGGGAUACCCGCUGAACUUAAGCAUAUCAAAA